rnacentral:lncRNA from 1 species
GAAGUCCCUGGCGGCCUCCCAAACCCAACCCACUAAGCCAUCACCCCAAACCCUGCACCUGCCCUGCCUCCUCCGCUGAUCUGCCCCCACUCAGUCCCGGCCGUGCUGGGACGAGUGGGCUCAAGCUGCCCACAGGAAGGCCUGGCUGCCCACAGGGGCCCCUCUGCAGCAGCCCCCCUGCAGCCCUCCACGCACCUCCCUCGGGGCCAUGGGUGCACCCCCCCCACCAGGAGACCGAGCAGGGGGAGAGACCAGCCCCAGUGCUGUAUGAGCCCUUCUGGCUCCCUGCUCUGCUCAGGCUCCUUCGGCCAAAUCCAUGUGUUUGCUGGUACGUGGUGCCCACGGACUCAGAGACAUCGGCGAUUUGAAAUGGAGUCACUCAGCCCUUUGCAUCGACGAGGUGACAGAAGGGACAAAGGUAAGAUCUGCGAAUUUAUGAAGCUUCUUGGCUCAGGGGCUUGGGCAGGUGGACAGGCCAGCGGCUGGGAGGGAGGGGGGCGUGGGGUGGGGGUCCUGCUGGGCCCCGCCCCCGCCCAGCUCAGGCCCCGCCCUCCAAGUGCUCUCAGAAGACCUGGCGGCACAGCUGUUCCUCUCCCGUCUGCGUUUAUCGUUUCCUCUCACUUAAAUCAUAGCUCUUGAGUCCUACUACGUGCUAAGGGCACACACACUGGGACACCCGGUGCUCUGGAGCUUUGCCGACAUCUCCGAC